rnacentral:rRNA from 1 species
AGCGAACGCUGGCGGCAGGCCUAACACAUGCAAGUCGAGCGGCCGUAGCAAUACGGCAGCGGCAGACGGGAGAGUAACACGUGGGAACGCGCCCUUCGGUUCGGGAUAACUCAGGGAAACUUGGGCUAAUACCGGAUACGCCCUUACGGGGAAAGAUUUAUUGCCGAAGGAACGGCCCGCGUCCGAUUAGCUUGUUGGUGAGGUAACGGCUCGCCAAGGCGACGAUCGGUAGCUGGUCUGAGAGGAUGACCAGCCUCACUGGGACUGAGACACGGCCCAGACUCCUACGGGAGGCAGCAGUGGGGAAUAUUGGACAAUGGGCGCAAGCCUGAUCCAGCCAUGCCGCGUGGGUGAUGAAGGCCCUAGGGUUGUAAAGCCCUUUCGGCGGGGAAGAUAAUGACGGUACCCGCAGAAGAAGCCCCGGCCAACUUCGUGCCAGCAGCCGCCGUAAUAC